rnacentral:lncRNA from 1 species
GGACCACAUGUUAAAUCAUGCAACUCAUCGGUCGCACCCACUUCUUUAUUGAAAUGCUUAUGUUUUAUCUACAUCAUAAGAUAAAAAAUUAUGUUGGUUCAAAUAAUAUUAUUUAUAAAUAAAUAAAUAAUGUAUCACUAAUAUAACUUAUAAAAUCACCAAAUCAUUUUGCAAAUUCUCUCCUAUGUCAAUCAUCGGUAUCUAUAUUAUUCUCUCUAUA